CGCGGCCUAUCAGCUUGUUGGUGAGGUAACGGCUCACCAAGGCGACGACGGGUAACCGGCCUGAGAGGGUGACCGGUCACACUGGGACUGAGACACGGCCCAGACUCCUACGGGAGGCAGCAGUGGGGAAUAUUGCACAAUGGGCGCAAGCCUGAUGCAGCAACGCCGCGUGAGGGAUGACGGCCUUCGGGUUGUAAACCUCUUUUAGCAGGGAAGAAGCGAAAGUGACGGUACCUGCAGAAAAAGCACCGGCUAACUACGUGCCAGCAGCCGCGGUAAUACGUAGGGUGCAAGCGUUGUCCGGAAUUAUUGGGCGUAAAGAGCUCGUAGGCGGUUUGUCACGUCUGCUGUGAAAAUCCAGGGCUCAACCUUGGACUUGCAGUGGGUACGGGCAGGCUAGAGUGCGGUAGGGGAGAAGGGAAUUCCUGGUGUAGCGGUGGAAUGCGCAGAUAUCAGGAGGAACACCAAUGGCGAAGGCACAUCUCUGGGCCGUAACUGACGCUGAGGAGCGAAAGCGUGGGGAGCGAACAGGAUUAGAUACCCUGGUAGUCCACGCCGUAAACGGUGGGUGCUAGCUGUGGGCCACAUUCCACGUGGUCCGUGACGAAGUUAACACAUUAAGCACCCCGCCUGGGGAGUACGG
rnacentral:rRNA from 1 species